rnacentral:rRNA from 1 species
CAGCAGCCGCGGGAAUACAGAGGGUGCGAGCGUUAAUCGGAUUUACUGGGCGUAGAGCGUGCGUAGGCGGCUUCUUAAGUCGGAUGUGAAAUCCCUGAGCUUAACUUAGGAAUUGCAUUCGAUACUGGGAAGCUAGAGUAUGGGAGAGGAUGGUAGAAUUCCAGGUGUAGCGGUGAAAUGCGUAGAGAUCUGGAGGAAUACCGAUGGCGAAGGCAGCCAUCUGGCCUAAUACUGACGCUGAGGUACGAAAGCAUGGGGAGCAAACGGGAUUAGAUACCCCAGUAGUCCCUGUCUCUUAUAA